rnacentral:rRNA from 1 species
GACAGAGGGUGCGAACGUUGUUCGGAAUUACUGGGCGUAAAGCGCGUGUAGGCGGCAGCGCAAGUCGGGCGUGAAAUCCCACGGCUCAACCGUGGAAGUGCACUCGAAACUGCGCAGCUAGAGUCCUGGAGAGGAAGGUGGAAUGCUUGGUGUAGAGGUGAAAUUCGUAGAUAUCAAGCGGAACACCGGUGGCGAAGGCGACCUUCUGGACAGUGACUGACGCUGAGACGCGAAAGCGUGGGGAGCGAACAGG